rnacentral:rRNA from 1 species
UAUUGUCCGGUAGCAAAGUUCCUGAUGUCACACUGCCAAGAAAAGCUUCUAGUGAGAAAGUAACUGCCCGUACCGCAAACCGACACAGGUAGUUGAGGAGAGAAUCCUAAGGUGUGCGAGAGAACUCUCGUUAAGGAACUCGGCAAAAUGACCCCGUAACUUCGGGAGAAGGGGUGCUGACCGCAAGGUCAGCCGCAGUGAAUAGGCCCAAGCGACUGUUUAUCAAAAACACAGGUCUCUGCAAAAUCGAAAGAUGACGUAUAGGGGCUGACGCCUGCCCGGUGCUGGAAGGUUAAGAGGAGAGGUUAGCGCAAGCGAAGCUUUGAAUUGAAGCCCCAGUAAACGGCGGCCGUAACAAUAACGGUCCUAAGGUAGCGAAAUUCCUUGUCGGGUAAGUUCCGACCCGCACGAAAGGCGUAACGAUUUGGGCACUGUCUCAACGAGAGACUCGGUGAAAUUUUAGUACCAGUGAAGAUGCCGGUUACCCGCGACAGGACGGAAAGACCCCAUGGAGCUUUACUGCAGUUUGAUAUUGCGUGUUUUGUAUCACAUGUACAGGAUAGGUAGGAGCCGAAGAUACCGGGACGCCAGUCUCGGAGGAGGCAACGGUGGGAUACUACCCUUGUGAUAUGACCACUCUAACCCGCUGCUCUUAGCGAGCAGGGAGACAGUGUCAGACGGGCAGUUUGACUGGGGCGGUCGCCUCCAAAAAUGUAACGGAGGCGCCCAAAGGUUCCCUCAGAAUGGUUGGAAAUCAUUCGUAGAGUGUAAAGGCAGAAGGGAGCUUGACUGCGAGACCUACAAGUCGAGCAGGGACGAAAGUCGGGCUUAGUGAUCCGGUGGUUCCGCAUGGAAGGGCCAUCGCUCAACGGAUAAAAGCUACCCUGGGGAUAACAGGCUUAUCUCCCCCAAGAGUUCACAUCGACGGGGAGGUUUGGCACCUCGAUGUCGGCUCAUCGCAUCCUGGGGCUGUAGUCGGUCCCAAGGGUUGGGCUGUUCGCCCAUUAAAGCGGUACGCGAGCUGGGUUCAGAACGUCGUGAGACAGUUCGGUCCCUAUCCGUCGCGGGCGUUGGAAAUUUGAGAGGAGCUGUCCUUAGUACGAGAGGACCGGGAUGGACACGCCGCUGGUGUACCAGUUGUUCUGCCAAGAGCAUCGCUGGGUAGCUAUGUGUGGACGGGAUAAGCGCUGAAAGCAUCUAAGCGUGAAGCCCCCCUCAAGAUGAGAUUUCCCAUCACUUUAAGUGAGUAAGACCCCUGAGAGAUGAUCAGGUAGAUAGGUUGGGAGUGGAAGUACAGCGAUGCAUGGAGCGGACCAAUACUAAUCGGUCGAGGACUUAACC